CGGAGUAUUAAGUUAAGUAAACUGUUAGCCUUCAAAGCUGAAAAUGGGGUUUCUCAUAUUUUGU
rnacentral:tRNA from 1 species